AGGUAUAUGAGGCACAGAAACACAAGGCACUGUGGAUGCCUCUUCUGUCUGGACAGAAAACUGGAGUCAGGAGACCUCUCUGAGUCCCCAGAGACAGAAUCAUCACUACUGUGUGUCCUUGGAACUUAAAGUAGUAAAAAAAAAAAAAGACACAGCAAGAAGUUCACAGUCUGCAACUUGAAAGAGGACCCUCACAAGAACCCAACCAUGC
rnacentral:lncRNA from 10 species